AUUGAACGCUGGCGGCAUGCUUUACACAUGCAAGUCGAACGGUAACAGGCCUUCGGGUGCUGACGAGUGGCGAACGGGUGAGUAAUGCAUCGGAACGUGCCCAAUCGUGGGGGAUAACGUAGCGAAAGUUACGCUAAUACCGCAUAAGCCCUGAGGGGGAAAGCAGGGGAUCGCAAGACCUUGCGCGAAUGGAGCGGCCGAUGUCAGAUUAGCUAGUUGGUGGGGUAAAGGCCUACCAAGGCGACGAUCUGUAGCGGGUCUGAGAGGAUGAUCCGCCACACUGGGACUGAGACACGGCCCAGACUCCUACGGGAGGCAGCAGUGGGGAAUUUUGGACAAUGGGCGCAAGCCUGAUCCAGCCAUGCCGCGUGCGGGACGAAGGCCUUCGGGUUGUAACCGACUUUCAGCCGGAAGAAAUACGCCAAGGCGUAAUAUCCUUGGUGGAGUGACGGUACCGGAAGAAGAAGCACCGGCUAACUACGUGCCAGCAGCCGCGGUAAAGUC
rnacentral:rRNA from 1 species